rnacentral:rRNA from 1 species
AUUGAACGCUGGCGGAAUGCUUUACACAUGCAAGUCGAACGAUGAACCUUAGCUUGCUAAGGGGAUUAGUGGCGAACGGGUGAGUAAUAUAUCGGAACGUACCUUGUAAUGGGGGAUAACUAGUCGAAAGAUUAGAUAAUACCGCAUACGCCCUGAGGGGGAAAGUAGGGGAUCUUCGGACCUCACGUUAUAAGAGCGGCCGAUAUCUGAUUAGCGAGUUGGUGGGGUAAUGGCCUACCAAGGCGACGAUCAGUAGCUGGUCUGAGAGGACGACCAGCCACACUGGAACUGAGACACGGUCCAGACUCCUACGGGAGGCAGCAGUGGGGAAUUUUGGACAAUGGGCGCAAGCCUGAUCCAGCCAUUCCGCGUGAGUGAAGAAGGCCUUCGGGUUGUAAAGCUCUUUCGCAAGGGAAGAAAACUUACAUUCUAAUAAAGUGUGAGGCUGACGGUACCUUGAUAAGAAGCACCGGCUAACUACGUGCCAGCCGCCGCAGUAA